rnacentral:rRNA from 1 species
AUUGAACGCUGGCGGCAGGCCUAACACAUGCAAGUCGAGCGGAUGAAGGGAGCUUGCUCCUGGAUUCAGCGGCGGACGGGUGAGUAAUGCCUAGGAAUCUGCCUGGUAGUGGGGGAUAACGUCCAGAAACGGGCGCUAAUACCGCAUACGUCCUGAGGGAGAAAGUGGGGGAUCUUCGGACCUCACGCUAUCAGAUGAGCCUAGGUCGGAUUAGCUAGUUGGUGGGGUAAAGGCCUACCAAGGCGACGAUCCGUAACUGGUCUGAGAGGAUGAUCAGUCACACUGGAACUGAGACACGGUCCAGACUCCUACGGGAGGCAGCAGUGGGGAAUAUUGGACAAUGGGCGAAAGCCUGAUCCAGCCAUGCCGCGUGUGUGAAGAAGGUCUUCGGAUUGUAAAGCACUUUAAGCUGGGAGGAAGGGCAGUAAGUUAAUACCUUGCUGUUUUGACGUUACCAACAGAAUAAGCACCGGCUAACUUCGUG